ACAAUUUACGUGCAUAAAAAUAAAAAUAAAAAUAAAAAUAAAAAUCUUUAAAAAGUCCAAAAAACUAAAAGAAAGAGGGGAAUGGUGUGAACGUUAAAGCACGGAACAUGCCUUCUUACACCAAAAGGAAAGUCAUCAUCUCAAUCGCCGCAACAGGGUGCUUUGCACCAUGCGAACUGUGGCCCAAGAGUUUUUAUUGGCUGGAGAAUUCAAACAUGAGACCCGGAGAAAGCAAACCCCCAACCUCCUCCUAGCUAGCUAGGUGAUAUCCACUAAACUAACCCAACCUGGUGAGGUUGAAACUGUAUAAAUUCAAGUCAAAUAGCAUCUCUGUAACCACUAUGCUGGAGAAAUUAAUUGUUUUUGUUUUUUUAACGUCAACUUUCUAAUUUUUUACGCUGUAAGGAAUCUAAUGAGUCAUCAAAGUGAUUUGAUUAAUUAGAAGCAGCAUGAAUACAUGAUGAUGCAGUAUGAAAUCAUCACUGUGAUUUGUUAA